CAAGGGUUUGAAGGUGAGGUGCUGCAGACACUUGCAAUGAUGGGACACCUUAGGGGUAUCUUCACUCCUGUUUCCAGCCUGUCCCCUCUCCUUUCUCCUGGGAAUAUGUAAAACAGCAUAAAACGCCUUCACACAUCUGAAAAGCACGUUUAUGUGUUGCUAUGAAUAACGAUACUGGAAGAAGAUGAUCUCAUGUAUUGUCUGACACAAGUAUUCCCAUUUCUUUUGCUGAUAGUUAACAUUAGACGCACUGGAAGGAAAGGGAGUAAGUGAUUUACAGGUGCAUGCAAACUUAGAAGAAUAAAAGCUGCAUUCUGACUGAAAUGGAGUGUUUAUUUAAAAGAUGUGUAUUCUUCCACUGAGUGUGGAUUUUGUUCAUUUUUUUUGUCUCAAAUGUGUUACCGAGGCAGGAACUCCCCCCCACGCCCUGGGUCCCAGCAGGAUUGCAGCUACUGAGUGCAGUACAGUUCCAUGGUCCUGGGAGAUAUUUCAUUGAGUGUACUUAUUUUCUUAAUAUGUUAUGUUUUAUUUAUGUGUUAAAUACAGCUGAAAAAUCAAAUAAUUAUUCUGCCCUGGAAACACUAAUCCACAUUGGACAUGCAAAGGCUAAAUCCUCUCCUGAGAAGAGCAGAACCUGAAGCAGCUCUAGUGGGAGGUUUUAAUCUACUACCUCCCCAGCUCUGGGUUUCGCUGGGAGACAAUACAGGAAAAACAUCCUGCAGAAGCCAAGCAUUUCUCCUUGCUGAUGUCCUGUGGGGUGGCCUCUAAGGCUCUGUGUGGCACCAGUGGAAGGAAGAGAUGGCUAUGGCCGACCAUCAUAGCGUGGAUUUCAGUGUUUCAUUAGCAAUCCAUGUUUGGUGAACGUGGGAGAAAUAUCACGGUGACACCUGAAUCACAAAGGAUCUCACAAUGUUUCUGCGCCAACAAGAGCUCCAAUGCGGGAUCCUGCAGGUGGUCAGUGUGGAGCACCAAUCGGGCAGCGAGGAGGCUGGCUUGGCAUCAGGAGAGGAGACCCACCUGUUUCUUUUGCAAGUUGAAACAGCAUUCUGGGUGGCAACAAUGGAAACCUUGGGAGCCGGCCGAGCAAGCUCUAACGACAGUGCCACGGAAGCACCGCAACACUGUGGUGACAUGGGAGAUAGUAGAAGACGCAGAAGUGGAGGCACAAUUGAGCAAAAUUAAUCUAUCAGAGGAUACAAAGAUUAAUCACAAAUAAUGAGUGGCGUGGGCCAGUGCCCUGCUUCUGGACACCAAUGGCAAUG